ensembl:lncRNA
AAUAACUGCUGUUAAAAGUCCUUAUCUUACCUAUGACAGUACUGCUCUAUACUUAGAACAGGAAAUAACUGUAGUAUCUUAAGUAACAUUUUAUGGUAAGCAUGAGUAAAUUACAACUUUGUUAGUACUAAAGGUAAUCUGUAACAUACAACUUUUGGGGGAUUUUUUUCUCUUUUGAAAAUACCUUUAUAAUAUCAUUGCAGUAUUAUGCUUAAUUUGGUGGGUUAAAUCUGGGUCUUGCUUGGGUCAUUGCUGCAGCCCUGUUGACUGCAAUGUGGUCAUUUAUCAAACUUUCUUGCAAUUUUCAUGUUUAACUGGAUGGGGAUAUGGGUACAGUUGACCAAAGUCUGUGCCAACUCAGACCCUUGCAACACUUCCACAAUGAAUAGCUCUUGCAAGGACGGAUGCAGAGAGAUUUGAAAUCAAUGUACUUCCUGUUAAAUGCAGAGGUUACGUUGUUUGUAGCAGUAAUUCCUGGUCUGUAGAGACAGUACCUUCACCUCGAGUUUCACACAUGCGAGCAGAUCUCUUUCAGACCUGUUUUGGGCUUAUGUUCUUGUCAGCUUUGUAGACUUUUCUUAUUUGAUAGAUUAUCCAAUGAGAACUUUUAAUUGAAACACACUUAAUAAAACUGCAUCUUCAGGAUUUUAUAUUUAAGACUUAUGGUUUGAUCUUGUUCUUGAAUUUCCUAUGAAAUUCCUCUCUUUGAAAUCAGCUCAUUUUAUCAAGCAGUCAUCAGCUUUAUAAUCUUUUCUGAGACUAUAUAUAUGACUACUCUCUUCUACUUUCUUUCCAUCCCCCCUCCGCCCCCACUGAAAUACUCUAACUUAGGCUAACAGGAAGAAAUAACCACACCCUCGCAUAUACAAAAACCAAAAUUGCAUGUCUGCUUCUCACUUGCUAUAUGUAACUGCAGUUGUAUUCAUGCAGUGUUAAGUGAGCUCUCUUUCAGGUCCAUUGUGGUCAUUAAAAUUCAAAGUGAGGUCUUUGUGAUGCAUCUUCCAUAAAAUGGUUGGUUUUUUAUUUCUUGUGUGUGAAAAAUGUCUGCCCAACUGUGCCCUGUGAUCACCUCUCUUAAGUAAUUUAGAGACAAAGAACAGUCCAAUCACAUGUGGAAAUACUGUCUGGCUAUCUUAAUUUUUUCAGGCCAUUUGACUUUCAGGAGAAAGUGAGAAGGAAUAUCUUACUUAAAAAAAAACAACUGCAGAGAAAGUUUGCACUGACCGUUGUGACACCGUCGUACUGCACUGCAGUCUUUGCAUUGCAGCAUUGUUUCUAACCAGUUAAAGGCCGUGUCGUCGUGUCCCACAGCUGUGGAUGCAUGAACACAUUCAUCUGCUUUCAUAGUUCUUCUGGGGACAGUCACUGUUGCUUUGUUCUCUGCCUGAGUAUAUUGGUUUGUUUAAGGAACGAUAAACCAAAAACAAAGAGGAGGGGGAGAGUGUUGGUCAGUGUGUGUAAGCAGUCAUAGACAAAUAGGUAGUGGGUACAGUACUUCUGAAACGGCCUUCUCUGUUCACAUGGUGUGGUUGCUACGGUACUUCUUUACAUUGACCCUUAUUUUGGUACCUCUAAUAUUAAACACAAAAGUUUUUUGAAGUCCAUAUUACAUUUAUGCCCGUCUUUAACACGAAAUAGAAAGGCUGCUUAGUGGAACAGUCCACAAAUUGGUUUUGGUGUCUUCUGCCAUGAUCUGAUCCUUAGUCGGCUUUCACAAGUUGUCCACAUGGUGCUUCAGUAUUUUGCUAAAUUAAGACAGUUCUCGUGGUAAUGCUGUGUUAUCUCCCUGAGGAUCACUUCAUUUGAUUGGUGUGGAUGGGUAGGCACUGCUUUCUGCCCUAUACACACAGCACCGAGUACUACAGGCAGCUUUCUCAUGCCAUGCUCUCUCUAUGGAUCAUCUGCUGUGGUGAGCUGUCGGCCCUAGAUGAUGUUAUAACCAGCUGCUGAAUGCUUUAAGCACUUCCAGCUGCUGCAGAAGUCCUUCCUAUCACUCUGCAGAUCUGCUUCAGUACUCAGCAGCAGGAGUGCAGAUGUCAGCCUGCUCAUGCAUACUCCCCCCACCUGCUACUGCUUUGUAUGUUAAUCAUCCAGCCUUCAUCUCAGGAAUAUCAUGAGAAUUUAUUAUUCUUGUGACUGUUCCAAACUGUGUUUUCUUCAUUCACCUUUUAUUCUGUAUAAGGCAGUUCUAUUUUUUUAAAGUCAUGUUUUGUCAUAGAGAAUCCAGAAUAUUGCAGUUGGAUACUUUUUCAUUCCAAGAAAGAAGGACAUUUCAGAAUCUUUCACCCAUCAGUGUUUUCUUGCUUUUUAUGUAUUUUUCCAGUUAACUUCAGAUCUCUUGCUGUAGCUGUCACGCUGUUGUUAUGCACGCAUGUAGCUAAACAAAAGACCCUUUGCUUACAGCCCCCACUUUCUAGAGUGGCAGAUUGUUCCUCCUGUUGCUAGCACCUCUGUGGAGCGAGCCUCUUUUCUUGCAAGUUACUCUACCAGCUCUGCCCAGGCCCUCACGCGAGGUCCAGCAGACCUUGCACCAUCCUUAGAGGAGUAUUUCUUUAGAUCUUGCAGCUACGUUCUUGUGCAGGGGUUAGUUAUCAUCCUUGUGAGAAACCCUAGUAUUGUGCAAGUGACAUGCCUGAACUGCCAGGACUGCUUAGAAAAAAGGAGUGGAACAAUGGAUUAUUAUUUUUUUUUUCGGUACUUUCUCUGCAACAGCAAGUGGAACUGAUUGAGCUUGAGCAGAAAAUAAUUACAUAGUAACUGCCUUUUAUAAAAGGGUUACAGGGGUGUUGCCAUUGUCUUUCUGAGAAGCAAAGGCUUUAGGAUUCUUUUUCCAACCCAGUUCCCCAGUUCAUCCCACUGUUGUUUAUGCUGCUUCACUACGUAUUUGUGACUUCAGCUUGUAAAGAUGUAAGAUGCUUCUUAAUGCUCUUUCCUGAAUUCUUCUAAAACAGUAUCUUUUUUCUGCUGGACCAUUAUAUAUGUCAUUUUUUAUGGACAGUUUUAUGAAAAUGCUAGAAUCUUCCAACAGCGUAUUUGCAGUGAAUGCAAGAUUAGGGUGCUAAAUGACUUGCAUGAAGGUGACUUGUUCUGUAUGGUGUGACAACGCUGUUUUUAACACUUUGCACACCCUACCAGCUUUCCUCAUAAAAUGAGAGGACAAAGGCUGUAGAUCUGAGCAACCUACGCCUGUAGGUUUGGACAGAUUUGUCAGCUAACAUACAGAGAGUUACCAGUUCCAGCAGAUGAACUGAAUUCCAAAGAAGUGUUGCUGCAGAGGUGUGAGGGAGUGGCGAGUUUGAUGUUCAGUAUUGCAGUUGUUGCCACAGAACAUUUUAAUGCUGUUGUGGAAAGUUUUGUGAUCUUGUCAAUAUUUUACAUGUAUGUCUGUAGUUUUAUUACGUGGUAAUGGAAAAGGGUCUGGGGUCUGGGAAUCUUUUUUAAAUUAAGAAUGAAGGCCCUGAUUCUCCUUUAUACUGCUGUCCUUUGCACCAUGUUAGAAGGACAGAGAGGCUGUAAACGGAUGCCCACUGAGCUUACAUCCUUUGGAGUACCCCAUUAUACCGAUCAUGGUUAAAAGGUCAUUAGUAUGAAUUGAAACUGUUACCCACAGAUGUGUACAGCUGUGGGAAAUCGAUGUCAUGAUAGCCCUAUUUUGUGCAUACUGGCCAGUAACAUCCAUAUUGUUCUCAGCUUAGAAAUACAGGUUAAAAAGAAAUUUCUCUGGCCUGUUUUGUAAUGAAUACUUAAAAAUUUGUUUAUAUUGGCUGUGCAUUUCCCUGCCUUGUCUACAAAGAGAAUGUGGUAGAAGAUUUGUACCUCAAAAUAAUGACCUGGCCAGAAAUGUCACAGAAUUGUCAACAAGACUAUUUCUAAGCUUAGGUAGUUUUUCUUAAAAUGCUUUCUUGCUUUUAUUGUUAUUUGAACCUUUUACACAAUUACAUAAAAUGGGGUUGUGAGAGUGUACCGCACUCCAUGCCUUUCUGACUUCGUCCCCAGCAGGGUGUGUGGUGCUGUGUGACGUUGCCACGCUGCGAUAAGUUUUGAGAGACAAAGCUAAAAGCCAGCAGUCUGUGAGUGCCCGCUGUGUGGCACUGAAACUGCUGGCACUGCCCUGCGUGCUUGUGGCAUGCAGAGCUUCCCUUGCUGCCAGUGGCAGCGCCAUCCCCCAUACCAUUGCGAUAGAUGUUUCUCUUUCAGAAAGAUUUGAAGAAAAAAGAUCUCAUAUUUUCAUUUUUUAAUUUCUAAAGUGCAGUGAUACUGCAGAGCCUAACAAAAACAGAGUCCGUGCUAACUUUGUGGAUGCCAGACUGUAAUCCAUGUGACAGAGGAGGCAGUGUCUGAACAUCACGAAUCUCUUGUCCUGUGAACAAAAAACAACUGCAGGCAAAAAAAGCAAAUAUGAUAUCCCAACACCACUGAAACAAAGGCAGUUCUAACCAAUACAAACACUUAGACAUUUUCAACUUCAACAACUCAUCAGUUUAAGACAAUUUGUUCAGUUUAGAAGAGACAGCUCUUCAUAAUGUGACAGUAUUAUACCAGGUCAUAUAUGUUGUUCAAAAUCUGUUAUCAUAAAAACAUUAAUUUUAAGGACACAUUGUACCAAAAUGCUGUGGCCAAUGAAUUCUUUCCCGAUUCAAAAAAUAAAAAACUAAAAGAUUAACAGUAUGCCAAAAAAAAAAAAAAAAAAAAGUCAGUAUUUUCUGUCUUUCCUUCUCUCCUUCUUCCUAUCUCUUUUCCUGUUUUUCUUUCUCUCUUUCCUUGGGAUGCAUUUGAUAUUUAUUUUUCAACUUUGAGGUUUUGGAUUAUUUCAUUUAACAACCUACUGUAUUUAGAUCUGAAACAUAACUUUCACAAAGCAAAAGAUGAUGAUGUACAGGGAGAAAAAAAUCAGAAAGAAAAAGCACUUCAUUAUGUCAACGUAUCUACAGGAAAAAGUGUAAAAAAUCGCUUCUUUUCUCAAAAAAAUAUCUGGGGCCUGAUUCUUUCCUAGUAUAACUGAGCAUAGCUUCAUGAGAGUGGUGGAGCUCUGAAGAGUUACACUAGCUGAGAAACUGAACCUUACAAUCUUUGCAGACAAGGGAACCCUAACCAGCAGUACUUGAAGACUUGUGAGUUGUGACUGCAUGUUACUUGAAAGAUCUAAUUAAGCUAUGUUUUUUGGUGCAAGCAGUUGUUGUACAUGAUUUCAUGUUUAUGUAGCAAGAUGCAUUGAAAUGUUGAUACUAGUAUUGAAACAUACAUGUAAAAAUUGUUGUUGUGGAAAUUGUCUGUUCUGUUCUAUUUUUCUUGUGUGUCUCAUCUGUUUAGAACGUAAACUUUCAUUUUUUUAUUGUCCUAACUGAAUAAGGCUAAAUGAAUACUGUAAUUGAAAAUAUAUUUUAAAUCUUGUCAUGAGUUUUUAAAAAGACUAUUACAAAUUGUAUCAUUCCUGAUUACACAGAACUUUGUGGGUGGUUUUAAAUAAAUUUUAUACUUCUAUUUUGCACUUAGUCGUCUAAUUUUUCUUUCCUGAAGUGUGAAACUUGAACAUUCUUGUAAAAUGCUUUAAGAGGGGGGAAAAAAGUUGUUUUCCCAAUACAAAACAGAAUGAAAUCAUACUGAAGUAACUAAAGAUUGAAAACUUCUACCAUACAACUUGGAGCAAAGUUAACGCCCUUCUUCAUAAUACAGAAUAUAAUGUUAUACGCUUAUUUGUGUGUAUAUAUAAAUACCCAAAUGUAUUUAUGCAUAUAUAAUGUAUAAGUUAUUAUUUACCAUUUAAAACACGUAUAUCGCUCA